UUUCGGAUUAAUUUCAGAAUUUUCUUCCAAUUCCUAGAAGAAAGAUACAAAAAAAAUCGAGAAAAAGAAGAAAAGUUGAGUUUAGUUCUUCGCUCCAGUUCUGUUUCUAUUUCAAAAUCAGAAAACAAAAAAAAAGAAUAAAAAAAAAAUUCUUGUUCCUCUGCUUCCCAAUUUCGGAUUCUGUUCCAAAAAAAUGGAGUCAGAUUGAACGACCUUGUCACUAUUCCCGCUACUGGAGUUCACUCUUAUUUUAGACCUUAUUUGUUCAAUUUCACUGCUGCUGCUGUCUGUCUCAUCGCUGAGCUCCCUGCUCCUUUCUUUGCUUUUAAUCCGGCUAAUUUCGCGAUGUAUUACUGCUGAUUGAGAUUUCAAAAACAUGACAUGCUUGCGAACUUCAUACCCGGAUCCUGAAAGCUAUCAAACCUCGAAAUAAUGAAUCAAGGAUUAGAUAGCAAUGAAGAUAAAGUUUAAGGAAAUAAAACAUAGAGUUGGAACAUCUAAAGGAAAAUUGGUUCUAUAUUAGAAAGGUCCAUAUAUUGCAACAAGAUCACUGCCAAAAGAGUGCAUUGUACUUGGGACACGUCAAAGGAAAUAAUUCGUUGAGCAUUUGUAUGACCUGCUAUUUGGGAAUAUUGUUUAUAUGACAUGUUGUUUGGCAUUAUAUGCUCAACCAGUAGUUAUGAAGUUAAUUCAAUGUGUUUCUAUAACUAUAAAAGAUUAUGGAGCUAUUCAUUGUUGUUACAAUAAAUUGGUUAAAGAUCUGGGCUUAAAGUUUCUCCA